UUCCAGUGGUGUAGACACUUUAAAGUGUCUGUCCGGGUCAAACUCAGCUGAGCUUCUGGGUUCCGGGUCCAGUCGGUCUGAGCAGCCGGGACCAUGAGCUGCUGGCCGGACUUCUCCCGCAGGAACCCGCAGGAAGACUUCCAGCUGAUCCAGCGGUGACGUGUACAAGGCAAGAAGCGAUGGAGAACUGGCUGCCAUCAAAAUCAUCAAAUUAGAACCUGGUGAGGACUUUGCUGUGGUUUAACAGGAGAUCCUGAUGAUGAAGGACUGUAAACACAACAACUCAACAUCGUGGCGUACUAUGGCAGCUACUUCUGCAGGGAGAAGCUGUGGAUCUGUAUGGAGUUCUGUGGAGGAGGAUCCCUGCAGCACAUCUACCACACUUUCAUUUCCUGUACCAUAUGUCCAUCCAUCUUUAAAUCUUUAACACACCCUCAGCUGUCCUGUCGCCAUGACAAUGCCCACGCUGCCCAUCUCCGUGCUCAUUAAGGCCAUGACGGUCGGAGCUGGAGGUGUCGUCGGGGAGCGUUAAUGAGGCCCAGCAGUGAAACACUGGCUGCUCGGUUUCAUUAAAUCUCAACCAAGAUGCUCAAAGUGACCAGAGCUACCACCACCCUGUCCCUCCACUGGUCUGAUGCAACUCUUUGCCCCCUGCAGAGAGAUAAUGAUUUAAACCUCACGCAUACAUCUACACCUUUGAUAGGUUGAUGAUGCACAGGUGGAACAAAUCAGGACAGGGGGGUGGGGGCAACGAUGACAAAUGGACAAGUGAAGCAUCUGAGGAGGACGAUCGGGAGGACGUAGACAGUUCUGGAUCCCUGGAGGACUGAGACAGUUCUGGAUCCCUGGAGGACGUAGACAGUUCUGGAUCCCUGGAGAACGUAGACAGUGCUGGAUCCCUGGAGGACGGAGACAGUUCUGGAUCCCUGGAGAACGUAGACAGUGCUGGAUCCCUGGAGGACUGAGACAGUUCUGGAUCCCUGGAGAACGUAGACAGUGCUGGAUCCCUGGAGGAUGUAGACAGUUCUAGAUCUCUGCAGGACGUAGACAGUCUUGGAUCCCUGAAGGACGGAGACAGUUCUGUAUCCCUGGAGGACGUAGAUAGUUCUGGAUUUCUGGAGGACGUAGACAGUUCUAGAUCCCUGCAGGGCAUAGACAGUGCUGGAUCUCUGGAGGACGUAGACAGUUCUAGAUUCCUGCAGGACGUAGACAGUGCUGGAUCCCUGGAGGACGUAGACAGUGCUGGAUUCCCCUGGAGGACGUAGACAGUUCUAGAUCCCUGCAGGACGUAGACAGUGCUGGAUUCCUGGAGGACGUAGACAGUGCUGGAUUCCCCUGGAGGAUGUAGACAGUUCUGGAUCCCUGCAGGACGUAGACUGUUCUGGAUUCCUGGAGGACGUAGACAGUGCUGGAUCCCUGCAGGAUGUAGACAGUGCUGGAUCCCUGCAGGACGUAGACAGUGCUGGAUCCCUGCAGGACGUAGACAGUCUUGGAUCCCUGAAGGAUGUAGACAGUUCUGGAUCACUGGAGGACGGAAACAGUUCUGGAUCCCUGGAGGAUGUAGACAGUUCUGGAUCACUGGAGGACGGAAACAGUUCUGGAUCGCUGGAGGAUGUAGACAGUUCUGGAUCACUGGAGGACGGAAACAGUUCUGGAUCCCUGGAGGACAUAGACAGUUCGGACGUAGACAGUUCUGGAUUUCUGGAGGACGUAGACAGUGCUGGAUCCCUGAAGGACGUAGACAGUGCUGGAUUCUCUUGGAGAACGUAGAUAGUUCUGGAUCCCUGGAGGACGGCCUCAGAGACUUGAGGCUAGGGAGGGUAGCCGGCAACUGAUGACCCGGCUGGAGUUUGGACCAGUGGAGUGCAUGUUGGGAAUCCUGCAGCCGGAGCACAGACUGGUUGGUAGCAGGCCGAAGCAGAGACUGGUUAGUAGCAGGCCGAAGCAGAGACUGGUUGGUAGCAGGCCGAAGCAGAGACUGGUUAGUAGCAGGCCAAAGCAGAGACUGGUUGGUAGCAGGCCGGAGCAGAGACUGGUUGGUAGCAGGCCACAGCAGAGACUGGUUGGUAGCAGGCCGGAGCAGAGACUGGUUGGUAGCAGGCCAAAGCAGAGACUGGUUGGUAGCAGGCCAAAGCAGAGACUGGUUGGUAGCAGGCCGGAGCAGAGACUGGUUGGUAGCAGGCCAAAGCAGAGACUGGUUGGUAGCAGGUCGGAGCAGAGACUGGUUGGUAGCAGGCCGGAGCAGAGACUGGUUGGUAGCAGGCCGGAGCAGAGACUGGUUGGUAGCAGGCCAAAGCAGAGACUGGUUGGUAGCAGGUCGGAGCACAGACUGGUUGGGACUGCGAAUCAGGAGUGUUAAAAGGACUGUCAGACUCUGCGUCUCGCUAUGGGCCCCUGCUAACACGUAACAUUUGACACAUUGCAUUCUGGGAUUGUUAGCAGACAUGCAGACAUCUGUUGUUUUGUCUUGGCCGAGUCCCAGAUUGCUUCCGUUGUGCGGGAAACACUGCAGGUAACAUCCAAUCAGAUUAUUAGAUCCUCCAAAUUCUGUCCAAUCAGAUUUCUAGACCCUCCAUGUUCUGUCCAAUCAGAUUGUAAUAUAGUGAGUGUGUUCUACAGGGACUCAUCUACCUGCACAGCAAAGGAAAAAUGCACAGAGACAUUAAGGGGGCGAACAUCCUGCUGACUGAUAACGGAUACAUCAAACUAGGUCAGUGUCACUCACCUGUCAUGAACAAACCCCGCCCCCUGAGAGGUAUGGAUGAUUAUGAGGUAGUGAUGAGUCAUGGUUCCAUUGUGUCCUCUAGCACACAAUCAUGUAUUAGUACUCACACUAAAGGACUCUGGAACACCACGCUUUGGUCCAUGACGGCGAGGAGAGAGAUGAGCUCCAGAUCUCCUGAUGUUUGUUGUCUCUGUUCAAUGCAAUCAAAUCAAAUGAGUUGAAUGCAUCAGUAAUAGUAGUAUUUUACUAUUUCUAAUUUACAGCUUAACAUCAGGUUUUAUAGAAUGUUCAAUUUGUUUUUGUUAAAAACAAAAGAUUUUUCCAAGCAGGAUUUUCAUGCUCACGAGCAUAUUUAAUAUGAUAAGUUUUGGUCCAGAACAGUUCAGAGGCCCUAAAUAUACGAGUUAGUGACUUCUUUCAAAAUCGUUUGUCAUCGUUUCGUUUCAAAAAUCGUCGGCACAUUA